AUGGUAGCCAGUUAUCCGUUAAUGCAGCAAUAAAAAAUACUUUUAAGAUUAGAAGAAAAAUAGCUUUUAAUAGCAGGCGAUGCCGUGCACCUUUGGGACGCAGGAUAGGCGGUAGACACCUCUCUGUCUUGCUUUAAAUAUCAGUUUAUUUGGAUGGAGUGCAAAAAGAAGAAGGAGCCAUUACUGGAGCAUAAUUAUGCAUAAAUUACGUAGGCCUGUUCUCUAAAUCCAGAGGAUCUGUGUGGAGCAAAUUACUGGACUGAACUUGGGAAAUUUGAAAAUGCAGGCAAUGCUGACCCUAAAGUUUGCAUCAACUCGCAAAGAAGACAAACUGCCACCAGACAGGAUGAGGAGCUGCCGCCAUCCUGCAGAUAGAAACAAGGGUGGGUGGUUGGAAGGCUGGAUAAAGGCUGGUAGAUGACUGAACUCAGAGACCCGGCGCAGCUCAUCAUCAUUGCCAUGGGCUCUCGUCUUCCUCCUCUCCUCCUGUGGCCCGUACCUCCAUCCAAGGGUCCAGCAGAGCCAGUGAAGCCCAGGUGGGGGGCUAGUGAGUGGGCUGGGAAGGAUGGAGAAGGUCCCUGAAGGCUAGAAGCACCUCUGGAGCUACCGUCAUGCAGGAAAAAUCAAUAUGAAACACAGAGCCUGCCCAGCUCUGAGUGGGGUUUCCUGUGUUAGUCUGUGGCCUAGGGGCCCGCAGACCUCCAAAGGACAGGCCCUGCGUGGCCUUCAGUUGCAGCCCUGGCUCCUAAGACUGGACCUCAAGUCCCGAUCUCCACUGGCUGUGUGUGGUUCUGCUGAAGGGGAUCUCUCCCCAAAUAAUACCCAAUACCCAGAAUGCUGAAAGACCGCCAAGAGGGAUAUUCCUUUCUCUUGAUUUUUUUCCUCAUAAGAUUGACAUAUCCCCCACCUUCUGCCUCUGGCUGUUUAAAAACCAGUUUGGGAGUUCUGCUUUUGACUCACUCUCCAUCCUCGACUCACCCGUUGUUUAUUCCCCAACCAGUUUUUACAUUUGACAAAGAGACAGUGCUAUCUUUAUUUUCUCCACCUCUCUUGGUUUGCUGUUACUAUGGUGAGCCGUAGACGUGCGUCUGUUCAAACCAGGAACACAGGCACAUGAAGUAUGAACAUCUUUUUUUUUUU